CCAAGCAAAACGCCACUUAAGUUUGACCCCCCGAAACUAAGCGAGCUACCUUAGAGCAGUCUCCAGGGCCAACCCAUCUCUGUAGCAAAAGAGUGGGAAGACUCUAAAGUAGAAGUGACACACCUAUCGAGCUUAGAGAUAGCUGGUUGUUCAAGAAAAGGAUUUUAGUCCACCUUUAAGUUUUUACACUCCAAUCAAAUACAAAAUAAACUUAAAAGUCACUCAAAUAAGGUACAGCCUAUUUGAACCAGGAAACAGCCUGCAACACUGGGUAAUAAUUUUCUACGUGACCAAGUCGGCCUAAAAGCAGCCAACUUCCAAAUAGCGUCUAAGCUUCAUCACUAAUUAUCAUUAAUUCUACUAUUUACUCACAACCCUCAACCCCUACUGAACGACUCCAUACCAAUAUGGAAGACAUCAUGCUAGAACUAGUAACAAGAAGACGCACUUCUCCAAAAUGCAAGUAUAAGCCAAAAUGAACCAUCACCGGCACCCACCGUCAUAAACUAACAGUUCUAACCCACMAGAAAMCCCUACCAUUCCUGGCGUUUACCUUACACUA
rnacentral:rRNA from 1 species